CAGGCUUUUGUUAAUCAUGUUAUACCUGAAAAAAAAAAUUAUCAUUUUAUAAUUACACAAAGAAAGAAAGAGGAGAAAUAUGUUUUAUGUGAAUUUUUUUUUUUUACAAAGCUUAUAUUAACUCACUCUGUCUGUCUGUAUAUGUUAUUUCUCCCUUAUCCAAUCUCGGAUUAAGCUGAAAUUUUGCACAAUUAUUAUUUUUAGUGAAAUGGCUUGAAUAGCUUGAGGAGGAUUUAGGCCUCGAGUUUAAAUUCAGGUCAUUCACUUUUUUAUAAAUGCAUUUAAAAAGCCAUCAUGGUAACAUUCACACAGAUACCCCCUUCCCCCACCCCUUUCCAAAUGGUCCAGACAAGUGAUAAGAUCAUAGUGUACUGAGAAAGCUAAAAGUAUGAAAUUGAGCUAAACUGAAGGGCCUAGAUCAAGAAGGUGGUCAAGUCACGAUUAGGUCAUUUUGAAAUAAAUGGAAAAAAUACAUUUUUUUUAUGUUCCUUGUAAUAUUUGGUUGUUGUGGGCUAUGAACUAAAAUUUAGUGUUUCCAGUUUUAAUUGGCAAUUUUACACUAUUUUAGGGCUCUUGGGCUCACCAUAAUUUACUUUUCUGUCAAUCUAAAAAGGACUUGAUCUUCUU